GUGAGGAAUAUUGGUCAAUGGGCGAGAGCCUGAACCAGCCAAGUCGCGUGAAGGAAGAAGGAUCUAUGGUUCGUAAACUUCUUUUGCAGGGGAAUAAAGUGCAGGACGUGUCCUGUUUUGUAUGUACCCUGAGAAUAAGGAUCGGCUAACUCCGUGCCAGCAGCCGCGGUAAUACGGAGGACCCGAGCGUUAUCCGGAUUUAUUGGGUUUAAAGGGUGCGUAGGUGGUUUGAUAAGUCAGCGGUGAAAGUUUGCAGCUUAACUGUAAAAAUGCCGUUGAAACUGUCGGACUUGAGUGUAAAUGAGGUAGGCGGAAUGCGUGGUGUAGCGGUGAAAUGCAUAGAUAUCACGCAGAACUCCGAUUGCGAAGGCAGCUUACUAAGCUACAACUGACACUGAAGCACGAAAGCGUGGGGAUCAAACAGGAUUAGAUACCCUUGUAGUCC
rnacentral:rRNA from 1 species